UUAAACGGUAGGGUAUUGGCCUACCGUGGCAAUGACGGGUAACGGGGAAUUAGGGUUCGAUUCCGGAGAGGGAGCCUGAGAAACGGCUACCACAUCUAAGGAAGGCAGCAGGCGCGCAAAUUACCCAAUCCUAAUACAGGGAGGUAGUGACAAGAAAUAACAAUACAGGACUUUUUGGUUUUGUAAUUGGAAUGG
rnacentral:rRNA from 1 species